CGCCUGUGAUGCCGGCAUCCCAUAGGGGCACCAGUUCAAGUCCCGGCUGCUCCACUUCCUAUCCAGCUCCUUGCUAAUGCGCCUGGGAAAGCAGCAAAAGGCGGCCCAAGUGCUUGGGCCCCUGCACCCACAUGGGAGACCUGGGUGAAGCUCCUGGCCCUGGCUUCUGCCUGGCCCAGCCCCGUCUGUUGCAGUGAGUUGCGGAGCGAAGCAGUGGCUGGAAGAGCCCUCUCCUGCCCCAUCUCCCCCUCUCUCUGUAACUCUUCCAAGUACAAAAUACCUAAACGAAGGAGAGGGAGGGAGGGAGGGAGAGGGAGAGGAGGGUAGGGGAGGGGAGGGCAGGGCAGGGCAGGGCUCCAUUGGUGUGAGGGGAGCACCCCGGAGCCGAGUUGAAGGAUCGGCGGGAAGAGCGCUAACCGGCUAAGCAGGCACCGAGAGAGAGCCGGUUCCUCUGGGGCGCAUGUGGUGUGAGUGACAGCCGCGCCUGCACGCCCUCUCCAGCCUGUAGAGACACAGUAUGCAGAGAGCGUCCGGGAGCAGCCCAGGCACACAGCUCAGGCUCCCCCAGGCCCCGUGGCCGCCCGGAGUGCACACAGGGGCGUCCUCCAUGUCUCAGAGCCCAGGAGCCGUCCUCGUCCCUGGGAGUUCCAGAGAGCAUCGCCCAGCUGCGCUCUCCCUGAAAAGCACUGACACAGUGGCCAACAGACGAUACAGACGACCCCAGACCCCAGACCCCAGACCCCAGACCGAGGCUGCGCGAGGAACGGACUUCUGGAACAGGGGCCAGGCGGGCCGGGCGGGGCGGCUCUGCCAAGCUGGUGCCGGCACAGCUCCCAGGUGCCGGUCCUCCUCCCUACACCGGAAUCAUUCUCCUGAGCCGUGUCCUUCUUCUCGCUCUCACGUGGGAAAUCCUGCACCUCUGAUGGCUUUGUUGGAAAAUGCACAUUUCAUGUGUAGAAAGAAACGAGCUACGAAGCCAGAGAAGGUGUGCAGAGAUCUUGGUGUGUGUUACGGCGUGGAAAACCUCGACCUGGAAAGUCUGCAGUCCUCGGAUCCUGGAAAAGGCAAAACCACAGAGACAGUAAAGCCGCCCCAUCUCUUAAGGGCCCCCACGUCUUCGCCACAUGGGGACCAAGCUGCCAGCACAAGAACCCUUGGGCGACAAACCACAGCCACAUGUUAGCAGUGGGGGAAAAGCAGCUGAAAACCCAUUUGACAGGAAACACUCAGCGAACCGGAACCACAACGUACUUCCUUCACCUGGAAAUGAGCGUCUCCCCAGACCUGGAGUUACGGCCACACUCACUGCCUCCGAUGAAUGGAGGAGACGGGCUCCGUGGAUCAGCCACGGAAAGGGUGAAGUCUGAUCAUCUGUAGCAACACGCGUGGGCCGAGGGCAUUGUGCUCAGUGAAACCAGCCAGACACAGAAAGACAAGCACAGUAGGCUCGCCCUCAUCCGCAGAGGCCGACUGAACUCGGUCCGAGCACAUGACGGAGAAGGGAGACUCCUGGGGCGGGGCGGGGGGACAGAGGGAAGUUGGACAACGCCGACCAGAUCCUAGUCAGUGCAAAGGAACGAGCGUUCAGCGUCACACGGCUCAGCCUGGCGACCGUGGUCCACACUGCGUCACACGGCAUAGCCUGGUAACCAUGGCCCACACUGCAUCACACGGCAUAGCCUGGAGACUGUCCACACUGCGUCACACGGCAUAGCCUGGAGACUGUCCACACUAUCACACAGCACAGUCUGGUGACCGUGUCCACACUGCGUCACACGGCUCAGCCUGGUGACCGUGUCCACACCGUGUCACAUGGCACAGUCUUGUGACCACGGCCCACACUGCGUCACACGGCAUAGCCUGGGGACCGAGGUCCACACAGCGUCACACGGCACAGCCUGAAACCGUGGCCCACACUGUGUCACACGGCACAGCCUGGCGACCGUGUCCACACUGUGUCACACUGGUUUUAUGAGAAACCAGAAGAAAGGAGCCCAGAGGUUCCGGUCACACAGUGACGUCAGAGCAGGAAACUGAUUCUCUGGCUUGAGCAGUACACGCCAUACACGUGUGUUCAAAUCUCACAGGACCCCAAAAACAUGUGCACUUGGCAUUAACAUAAAAAUAUUUUACGUCCACUUGAAUCGUAGACCUAAAAGUCAACACCAAGCUAGGGAACUCCUAGAGGCUGGAACAAAAUCCAGAUGCCUGCGAGUGUGGGCUGACCUAACACAACACCAAAAAGGUGACCGUGAAAGCAAAAACCGACCGGCCGGACUCCGCCGAAAUCUGUCCGUGAGAGACCCCGCAGGAGACCUGGAAGAUAGGCUGCAGCCCAGGAAGUCUGUCUGAUAAGGAACUGGUGUCGGGACCACACCAAGAGCUCAUCAAGCUCCCACUGGAAAUGAACAACGUUUAAAAAUGGGCACACGUCAGCCCCUCCACCAAGUAAACACAGGAAAACAUAAUCCACACCCUAUGUCAUUAAGGAAAUGCAAAUUUUUCAAAAGAUUUAUUGAUUUGAAAGUCAGGGUUACACAGAGAGAGAAGGUGAGGCAGAGAGAGAGAGAGAGAGAGAGAGAGAGAGAGAGGUCUUCCAUCCGCUGGUUCACUCCCUAGUUGGCUGCAAUGGCCAGAGCUGCGCUGACCCAAAGCCAGGAGCCAGGAGCUUCUCCUAGAUCUCCCAUGUGGGUUCAGGGGUGCAAAGACUUGGGCCCUCUUCUACUGCUUUCCCAGGCCAUAGCAGAGAGCUGGAUCAGAAGAGGAGCAGCCAGGACUAGAACCAGUGCUGCCCAUAUGGGAUGCCGGCACUGCAGGCCACGGCUUACCCGAUACGCCACAGCACCAGCCCGGAAGUGGGAAUUGAACAACAGUAAGAGAGCAAUGCCUGUCUGCUAGAGUGGCCAAAAGCCAAGAGGCUGACAGUAACAAGUGCCGGCAAGGGGGUGGAGCAAGAGAAACUGAUUCAUUGCGGGUGCUGAUGCUGCCACCAUCAUCCACAGCCUGUGUCGCCCUCAGGAAAGCCGGGACAGGCCGCCUUACAAACAGCAGAGCGCAGGCUCCGCAGGGCUGCCCCGUGGCUGCUGCGCCUGGUGCAGAUGUGAUGGCCAGAGCACAGGGCAAAGGAAGCAGGCGACAGCUGCAGCCAGGAGGCCCCGGGGUGUGCUGGGCCUCCCCCGACAGGUGACCUCGGCAGCUGCCCUGGCCGCACCCCUUACACGUCCCUUGGCACCUGCCAGCGCCACCUCCCUGGGAGCACGUCACACGCAAACCGUGGCAGAGGGCUUGGGGAGCGCGUGAGCGCUUUAGUGCGGGAGGUGCCGAGAUGGGGGCGGCGGCUCAGCUGCACUGGUGAGCUGACCAAGAGAGCUCUUUCCGUCCGUGCUGCCUUUCCCGGGUAUUUUAUAAUGCAUCUGUAGGCUCUGUGGGAAAGCCGAGGAAAACUUCUGUGAUACGGUGCUUAGGGGCACGGGGCACGUGAGCGUGAAGACGCUGUCCCGACGGUGGCAUUGUGACCGACGGGCAGGAGCGGAGACAGCGUGGCACCGGCUGAUCUUCCAAGGAGCCUGGAUGGGCGACACGUUUUCUGGAGAGGGUAGUAGCCGAUGAGCCCGGUGCUUCCAGCCUGACGCAGAAGCCAUGUGCCAAAUUUUGCUGGGGGAAAUUUCAGCGUUACCAAAGCCUAAGGAGGCGUUGGCUUCAAAAACACAAGUGAGAAACAUCUCGACUCAUUUAUGUCACACCACUCCUGAGUUUACCCCCAACGCCCUCUUUUGAAGAAAUCCUGACUCAUACAAACAAGUCUCCGUGGUGAGCCAGCCGAGCAAGAGCAGAACACGCGUGGCGAACGCCUCCGCACUCGCGGCAUUCACACACCUCAGCGCCGUCCCCGCAACGGCAGCGCAGGGGAAGGACCCUCGGCCCCACUUCACAGAUGGGAGGACUGAGGCCCGCACGGUGCAGUGUCUUCUCCAGCAUCACCCACCCGGCGCCUGACGGAGGAGGAGCAGACAGCUGCGCCUGUGCGACUCUGAAGUCCGAGUUCUUUCGGGCGUCUCUGCCCCGACGCCACAGUCGGAGGCUGUGCCGUGCGGACCCACGUGUUCCCACCUGCUUUGCAGGACACUUUCAACGCAAACAUUCCCACCGGCAAGGGGCCUCCACUAAUCUGAGUGAUUUCAGAAAGGCUGUCGCGAAAAUCCACCACAAGGGCAGACCUGACCAGCAGUGGUCUACAGAGAAAGCCACAGAAGGGCUAAGGAAGACACGUGGGCACCGAGGAAGUCACGUGCCACUGGCCACUCUGGCAUCCCACAUGGGCGCCGGUUCAAGUCCCGGCUGCUCCACUUCCAAUCCAGUCCUUGCUAGUGCACCUGAGAAAGCAGCAGAAGACAGUCCAAGCCCUUGGGCCCCUGAACCCACGUGGGAGACCCAGAUGAAGCUCCUGGCUUCAGCCUAGCCCAGCCCUGGAUAUUGAAGCCAUCUGAGGAGCGAAUCAGCAAUGGAAAAUCGAUCUCUCUCUCUCUUUCUCUCUCCCUCCUUCAAAUAAGCAAAUCUUUUUUUUAAGAUUUAUUUUUUUGAAAGACAGAGUUACAGAGAGAGGUAGAGACAGAGGGAGAGGUCUUCUAUCCGCUGGUUCACUCCCUAGUUGGCCGCUACAGCCGGAGCUUCACCAAUAUGAAGCCAGGAGCUUCUUCUUGGUCUCCAGGUGGGUGCA